rnacentral:rRNA from 1 species
GGUUCCCGCAGCACGGCCGAAAAUCGUGCGCAGAGUGUAAAAGCACAUAGGAGCCUGACUGUGAGGGGAACAUUUCGAGCACGAACCUCCGGUGCACCGGUUGUCGCGCCAGCGGCAUAGCCGGGUAGCCAUGUUCGGUGUGGAUAACCGCUGAAAGCA